UACGUAGGGUGCGAGCGUUAAUCGGAAUUACUGGGCGUAAAGCGUGCGCAGGCGGGCUUUUAAGCCAGACGUGAAAUCCCCGGGCUUAACCUGGGAAUGGCGUUUGGGACUGGAAGUCUGGAGUGCGGCAGAGGAGACUGGAAUUCCUGGUGUAGCAGUGAAAUGCGUAGAUAUCAGGAGGAACACCGGUGGCGAAGGCGGUUCUCUGGGAAUAUCCUGACGCUGAGGAGCGAAAGUGUGGGGAGCGAACAGG
rnacentral:rRNA from 1 species